AAAUUGAAGAGUUUGAUCAUGGCUCAGAUUGAACGCUGGCGGCAGGCCUAACACAUGCAAGUCGAACGGUAACAGGAAGAAGCUUGCUUCUUUGCUGACGAGUGGCGGACGGGUGAGUAAUGUCUGGGAAACUGCCUGAUGGAGGGGGAUAACUACUGGAAACGGUAGCUAAUACCGCAUAACGUCGCAAGACCAAAGAGGGGGACCUUCGGGCCUCUUGCCAUCGGAUGUGCCCAGAUGGGAUUAGCUAGUAGGUGGGGUAACGGCUCACCUAGGCGACGAUCCCUAGCUGGUCUGAGAGGAUGACCAGCCACACUGGAACUGAGACACGGUCCAGACUCCUACGGGAGGCAGCAGUGGGGAAUAUUGCACAAUGGGCGCAAGCCUGAUGCAGCCAUGCCGCGUGUAUGAAGAAGGCCUUCGGGUUGUAAAGUACUUUCAGCGGGGAGGAAGGGAGUAAAGUUAAUACCUUUACUCAUUGACGUUACCCGCAGAAGAAGCACCGGCUAACUCCGUGCCAGCAGCCGCGGUAAUACGGAGGGUGCAAGCGUUAAUCGGAAUUACUGGGCGUAAAGCGCACGCAGG
rnacentral:rRNA from 1 species